GAUGAAUUUUUUUGUUGGGACAACAGUCGGGCUUCUCCACGUACUCAUGCUUUCUGUGCAUGUGGGAUAGCAGGGACACCACUCGGCGUUACACAAACAAGGACUGGCCUGUGCGGAAGGAAUUGGUGCCUUGCAGAGUAAGGAACGUCAUCAACAUUCCUCUGGUAGACAAAGACAAGAUACUCUUCCCCCAAUAAACAGUUCAGCAAAAGCUCUAGAAAAGGAUGGUGGCUGCUACACUCACUCGUGCCAUCUUUUCCAGGAUUAACCGUAUAGAAGUUGAACGCUGGCAUCUUUGAUGGUCCUCAAAUCCGCCAGAUCAUCAGAGACCCUGACCUUAAAAACUUUAAGAGCAAAGUGGGACUGGAAGCAGAAGACUUUUGUUCUGGUCGUAAAGAACUUUCUUGGAAAACAACAAUGCCAGGGACGAUGCCAAACUUGUCACCAAUAUGCUGAUUGCUUUCAGAAAACUUGGAUGCAACAUGAGCAUCAAAAUGGAGGACUUAUGGCUCAGUUUCUUGAGAGUCUGUGAUCAAUGAGUGAUGAGCAGGGGAAGAGGUUCCAUCAGGACAUGAAAGAGAUGGAGACCAGGCAUCAGGCACACUGGGAUGCAGUCAAAAUGGCUGAUUACUGUUACUGCGGAGCACUCAAGAUGUUUGAAGAGACAGAAGUUCAUGCCCUGAAUGACGACCCCAGCACUAUGGAUCUGAUCAACAACGAUUGGCAAAUUCAUGAACAACUGCACACCGACUCUUAGACCAACCACCCCCACCUCCGCUCGCCACAAAGAAAAGGGAGGAUAGAAAUCUUCAAGCUCCUUGGUACCCACAUCAGCGAUGACUUCCCAUUGACCCAUCAACAGCAUAUUAUGAAUGGUUCAACAAAGACUGUACUUCUUGAGGGAGAUGAGAAAAAAAUUGAAUUCCCCUCCAACGGCCGAGCAACUUUCUUUGGAUGCGCAGUGGACAGAAUCGUGACUGACUCCAUCACAGUCUGGUUUGGGAACUGGACCGUACAGGAAAGCAGGGCUCUCUCGGCGUGGCAUUAAAAACCGCACAACCCACCUGUGGCGUAACCUUCACACCACUCCAUCACCUACAAGAUGACAGCCAUGCCAAAAAGAGGGCACAAAACUUUCACAAUGACAGCCCAUAUCCACAGCACACACUUUUCAAAGGUCUCCCAUCCCAACAGAGUAGAAAAAACAACUUUUACCCACAUGGCAUCUGACUCCUGAACAAAUGACAUCUCGUUCUAUCAAACAAAGUGAAAACAAUAUCGCUUCAUGUUAAUAAGCAGUGGUUGAACCGGCUACGGGUCUAAUUUGACUAAACAAACAGCCGUGCACCAAUAUUUAACAAAAGAUCAAGUGUAGCCAGCCAACUGUUCUUAAAUGACCAUGGAUUAUUUUACUUUUUCAAAAAUAUCAAUAGAGCAACAUGAUCUGGCCACAGAACACUUUUCUGUGCGUUUAUAUCACUAAAUAAUUUGCUUUGCAAGAAGGGGUAGACCGUUUCUCAAGCAGUGGUGGAGGAUACCAUGUUUGUGUUGACAUGCAGCCUGAAGCAUGCCAGUGAGUGAAAAAUGUCUCGUGCUCCACUGCUGUUGUUCUGAAAGUCACGUGCCCCACACAAUUAUUAUGCGGUUGUAAUUUUUGAGGCAUUAAUAUGCUGCAGAACAUUUACUUUUUAUGACAUUACCAUGCACCGCAGCGCCAGAGAGAAUGUAUCAAAAGGUGCCCGGCCGGAUGGUCAGUGUUGGAGCAGGUGGCGAGAAAUGUGUAAAUCCCAUGACACCUU